UUCACCUGUCACUUGCCACAUCUCAGCUAAUGAAGGAAGAAGGAAAAUAGGAGGGUUGGCAACAGGAAGGUGGAAUAAGAAAACGGAAGCUGGAAAUGGACAAAUUUUUUAAAAGAUGAGAGCCCUUUCGACUGCCAUCUUCUGCUUAUGCCUAUUUUGGUAGCUGCAUGAAUUUAUAUUCCCCACCAAAAGAAUACAAGAGCUACUUUUUCAUCCACUUACCCACCAGCAUCUAUUAUUUGUUGUUAAUGGCUACCCCAAGAGGAGAGAAUUGCAGCCUCGAUUUUUUUUUUUGAUUCUCCAAAGAGUAUUGGGCAUCAAAAUAUUAGAAGAAUUUCAAAUUGGUGAUCAAGCAGAGCACCCAAGAACUUAGAAAAUAAGAACAAAGCAAAGGAAAACGAAGUAUAAGAAAAUAAAUGGACCACAGAAGACUUCAGUCAAAGAGAGGGAAAGUGACAGUUUGUUAUUUGAAAAGUAAUUAAUCAAAUUGGACAAGACUUUAGAGAGAAUGGGGGAGGGGAGGAGAGGAAGAAAUACCAUUAAAUAGGUAAAAAGUUAAUAAAUGCUACAUAAAUUCAGAAA